rnacentral:rRNA from 1 species
UACGUAGGGGCUAGCGUUAUCCGGAAUUACUGGCGUAAAGGGUGCGUAGGUGGUUUCUUAAGUCAGAGGUGAAAGGCUACGGCUCAACCGUAGUAAGCCUUUGAAACUGGGAAACUUGAGUGCAGGAGAGGAGAGUGGAAUUCCUAGUGUAGCGGUGAAAUGCGUAGAUAUUAGGAGGAACACCAGUUGCGAAGGCGGCUCUCUGGACUGUAACUGACACUGAGGCACGAAAGCGUGGGGAGCAAACAGGAUUAGAUACCCCCGUAGUCCCUGAGCGGG